rnacentral:lncRNA from 1 species
GGGAGGUAACCCCUCCUUUUCUCAUGAACUGAUAUUGCUGCUCUGGAGUUCCUGUGGAUAAGGAAACAGGUUUGUAAAAGUUUGGACAACUAUUUUGGGAUUAAGAGUAUGCUGAAGCAGCUGUUGUGCAGAAAUAAGCAUUUGCUUAUUUGAUCAAUAAAAAACAGGUAAAAUCCAAGUCUC